UCCUUUUUACAAGCUUAGGGCUGAAAGGCAGUCAUCCUGGGGAUAAAAAUCCAUCACGAGGGUGGACAGAGUAGAGGCAGUUUGGGAGUGGAGAGGCCAGAUGCCUGCACACAAAAUAAUAAAAUGUUUUCCGUUGCUGUCAUCUACAUGAUGUCCAGAUCUUGAAAGCAUCGAAGCCAUGCAGCUGUUUUAACAAUGAAUUUGAAGAAGAGUCUUCAACUUCUCAGGGGGA